GAGGAUACACCUGUUCCCAUUCCGAACACAGAAGUUAAGCUCUCUAGCGCUGAUGGUACUUGGUGGGAAACUGCCUGGGAGAGUAGGACGUAGCCACGU
rnacentral:rRNA from 1 species